rnacentral:rRNA from 1 species
UACGUAGGGUGCAAGCGUUGUCCGGAAUUAUUGGGCGUAAAGAGCUCGUAGGCGGUCUGUCGCGUCUGCUGUGAAAACUCGGGGCUUAACCCCGGGCCUGCAGUGGGUACGGGCAGACUAGAGUGCGGUAGGGGAGACUGGAAUUCCUGGUGUAGCGGUGAAAUGCGUAGAGAUCGGGAGGAACAUCAGUGGCGAAGGCGGCUUGCUGGGUCUAGACUGACACUCAGACGCGAAAGCAUGGGGAGCGAACGGG